CGCAUAAAUUUACAAAUGACUGUAUAUAUGUAUAUAUAUUCUGGUAUUUCGGCACAAAAAGCCAAGCAAACGAGAAGAUUUUUACCGUUGGGAAAAACCUGAAUUUGAGGCGGUGAUCAGACAUCCGCCGGAGAGAGGAGCAACGGAACUGAACUCUGAAAAGGAGAGGGGGAAGGAGGCCUGUGUACUGAUCAGAGGCAGUUGCUGGUUGCUUGGUUUUGUUAACAAUGGAGAGAGGCUUAUUCAAGUUUCUUUUAUUGGUCAUCUUCAUCUUCCUCCUUGCUGCAUAUGGUACGUGGCUAAGCAUGGAACUGUUGGAAGGAGGAGGAGCAGAAGCAUUUGAAUUACAUUGUCCUCGCAUGAUAGAUUGCAGCAAAGUCUGCAAUGGUUUCCCUAAUUGUUGUAUUGAUGGCAGGUGCCAAUGUAUUCCUUGUCCUUCUAACUCCUAAUUUCCUUUGUUUCUUGGAAAAUCUUAUUACCAUUACAAUACAUAUUGCUGUAUAGAAUUGUAUGAGAUUCAAAGGGUCUGUUUGGGUUGCCACUAAGUCAAAAAUUUAAAUUGUUCCGUCCA